rnacentral:rRNA from 1 species
GACGAACGCUGGCGGCGUGCUUAAUACAUGCAAGUCGAGCGAGGCCUUGGAAUUGGAGUCCUUCGGGAUGAAGAGUCCUUGGCCUAGCGGCGGACGGGUGAGUAACGCGUGGGCAACCUACCCCAAAGUCCGGGAUAACAGUGGGAAACCGCUGCUAAUACCGGAUGGCUUUACCUGAGGGCAUCCUUGGGUAAAGAAAGGUUACGCUUUGGGAUGGGCCCGCGUCCCAUUAGCUAGUUGGUGAGGUAACGGCUCACCAAGGCCACGAUGGGUAGCCGGCCUGAGAGGGUGAACGGCCACACUGGGACUGAGACACGGCCCAGACUCCUACGGGAGGCAGCAGUAGGGAAUAUUGCGCAAUGGGCGGAAGCCUGACGCAGCGACGCCGCGUGAGCGAAGAAGGCCUUCGGGUCGUAAAGCUCUGUCCUUGGGAGAAGGCGAAGCUUGACGGUACCCAAGAAGAAGACCCGGCUAACUACGUG